AUUGAACGCUGGCGGCAGGCCUAACACAUGCAAGUCGAGCGGUAACAGGAAAGCGCUUGCGCUUUUGCUGACGAGCGGCGGACGGGUGAGUAAUGUCUGGGGAUCUGCCCGAGGGCGGGGGAUAACCACUGGAAACGGUGGCUAAUACCGCAUAAUGUCGCGAGACCAAAGUGGGGGACCUGAAAGGGCCUCACGCCAUCGGAUGAACCCAGAUGGGAUUAGCUGGUAGGUAGGGUAAUGGCCUACCUAGGCGACGAUCCCUAGCUGGUCUGAGAGGAUGACCAGCCACACUGGGACUGAGACACGGCCCAGACUCCUACGGGAGGCAGCAGUGGGGAAUAUUGCACAAUGGGCGCAAGCCUGAUGCAGCCAUGCCGCGUGUAUGAAGAAGGCCUUCGGGUUGUAAAGUACUUUCAGCGGGGAGGAAGGGUGUAGCCUGAACAGGGCUGUAUU
rnacentral:rRNA from 1 species